UGGGGAAUAUUGGACAAUGGGGGGAACCCUGAUCCAGCCAUGCCGCGUGUGUGAAGAAGGCCUUAUGGUUGUAAAGCACUUUAAGCGAGGAGGAGGGUACUGGUAUUAAUACUACCAGGUACUGAACGUUACUCGCAGAAUAAGCACCGGCUAACUCUGUGCCAGCAGCCGCGGUAAUACAGAGGGUGCGAGCGUUAAUCGGAUUUACUGGGCGUAAAGCGUGCGUAGGCGGCUAAUUGAGUCGGAUGUGAAAUCCCCGAGCUUAACUUGGGAAUUGCAUUCGAUACUGGUUAGCUAGAGUGUGGGAGAGGAUGGUAGAAUUCCAGGUGUAGCGGUGAAAUGCGUAGAGAUCUGGAGGAAUACCGAUGGCGAAGGCAGCCAUCUGGCCUAACACUGACGCUGAGGUACGAAAGCAUGGGGAGCAAACAGG
rnacentral:rRNA from 1 species